rnacentral:rRNA from 1 species
GUGCCAGACUCCUACGGGAGGCAGCAGUGGGGAAUAUUGCACAAUGGGGGAAACCCUGAUGCAGCGACGCCGCGUGAGUGAAGAAGUAUUUCGGUAUGUAAAGCUCUAUCAGCAGGGAAGAAAAUGACGGUACCUGACCAAGAAGCCCCGGCUAACUACGUGCCAGCAGCCGCGGGAAUACGUAGGGGGCAAGCGUUAUCCGGAUUUACUGGGUGUAAAGGGAGCGUAGACGGUUGUGCAAGUCAGAAGUGAAAGCCCGGGGCUCAACUCCGGGACUGCUUUUGAAACUGUGAAACUGGAGUGCAGGAGAGGUAAGCGGAAUCCCUAGUGUAGCGGUGAAAUGCGUAGAUAUUAGGAGGAACACCAGUGGCGAAGGCGGCCUACUGGACGGUGACUGACGCUGAGGCUCGAAAGCGUGGGGAGCAAACAGGAUUAGAUGCCCCCGUAAC